rnacentral:rRNA from 1 species
GACGAACGCUGGCGGCGUGCUUAACACAUGCAAGUCGAGCGGUAAGGCCCUUUCGGGGGUACACGAGCGGCGAACGGGUGAGUAACACGUGGGUGACCUGCCCUCAGCUCUGGGAUAAGCCUGGGAAACCGGGUCUAAUACUGGAUAUGACUCCAUGACGCAUGUUGUGGGGUGGAAAGCCUUGUGCGGCUGAGGAUGGGCCCGCGGCCUAUCAGCUUGUUGGUGGGGUGANGGCCUACCAAGGCGACGACGGGUAGCCGGCCUGAGAGGGCGACCGGCCACACUGGGACUGAGACACGGCCCAGACUCCUACGGGAGGCAGCAGUGGGGAAUAUUGGACAAUGGGCGCAAGCCUGAUCCAGCAAUGCCGCGUGUGUGAAGAAGGCCU